rnacentral:rRNA from 1 species
UGAAGCGGCAACAGCUCAAAUUUGAAAUCUGGCUUCGGCCCGAGUUGUAAUUUGCAGAGGAUGUUUCUGGCGCGGUGCCUUCCGAGUUCCCUGGAACGGGACGCCACAGAGGGUGAGAGCCCCGUAUGGUCGGACACCAAGCCUGUGUGAAACUCCUUCAACGAGUCGAGUAGUUUGGGAAUGCUGCUCUAAAUGGGAGGUAAAUCUCUUCUAAAGCUAAAUACCGGCCAGAGACCGAUAGCGCACAAGUAGAGUGAUCGAAAGAUGAAAAGCACCUUGAAAAGGGGGUUAAAUAGUACGUGAAAUUGUUGAAAGGGAAGCACUUAUGACCAGACUUGGGCCGGGCGGCUCAUCAGGGGUUCUCCCCUGUGCACUCCGCCCGGCACAGGCCAGCAUCGGUUUUCGCGGGGGGAUAAGACCGACGGGAACGUAGCACCCUCCGGGGUGUGUUAUAGCCCGGCGGACGAUACCCUCGCGGGGACCGAGGUCCGCGCUCCGCAAGGAUGCUGGCGUAAUGGUCAUCAGUGACCCGUCUUGAAACACGGACCAAGGAGUCGUCCAUUAGAGCGAGCGUUUGGGUGUAAAACCCGCACGCGUAAUGAAAGUGAACGCAGGUGAGAGCUUCGGCGCAUCAUCGACCGAUCCUGAUGUUCUCGGAAGGAUUUGAGUAAGAGUUUUAACGGACGGACCCGAAAGACAGUGAACUAUGCUUGUAUAGGGUGAAGCCAGAGGAAACUCUGGUGGAGGCUCGCAGCGGUUCUGACGUGCAAAUCGAUCGUCAAAUACGAGCAU